rnacentral:rRNA from 1 species
GCGCACCAGGCGAGAAAACUUCGCAAUGCGCGAAAGCGCGACGAGGGGAUUCCAAGUGCAUGCACUAAGUGUAUGCUUUUCGUGAGUUUAGAACGCUCACGGAAUAAGGGCUGGGUAAGACUGGUGCCAGCCGCCGCGGUAAUACCAGCGGCCCUAGUGGUGAUCGUUAUUAUUGGGCCUAAAGCGUCCGUAGCCGGUCCGGUAAAUCUCUGGGUAAAUCGUUGGGCUUAACUCAGCGAAUUCUGGGGAGACUGCUGGACUUGGGACCGGGAGAGGUCGGAGGUACUCCAGGGGUAGGGGUGAAAAUCCUGUAAUCCUUGGGGGACCACCGGUGGCGAAGGCGUUCCGACCAGAACGGGUCCGACGGUAAGGGACGAAGCCCUGGGGCGCGAACCGGAUUAGAUACCCCUGUAG